CUACCCCCCCUCCCCUCCCCGACCCCCUUCCGAUAAACACCACUAUUACCCGGCGCUGACCCCUAAGCACUAUUUACCUUGUUAACACGACGCCGGACCCCAAACACACGCUCAUUUCCUAUGCUGUGAGAGCCAUUUAUGAGCAUUUUACUUGUAUCUGUGUGGCCUCAAAGAGACAACGGGACCAGCAGUGACGGUGUUUGUUCAGUUGUCCUACAUUACUGUCAGUGAUGGCGCUGUUUGAUGUACGCAAGGGCUUGAUUGGUGGAAUAGGAACAGGAAAAAAGUAAUUUCCUGUGUCAGACUUUUCCCCUUGAGAUUGAUAAAUGAAAUGUGAUUAAAUAUUUAGGGGAUUACAAUGUGCAACACAGUAAUCAGGUUGUGCGAUGUUUAUGCAUUACUAAUCUAUCUAAUAUCACACAAACUAACGGACGCAGAAAUGGGCAGGCAGGAACAAGGCCACUGGAAUGCUCCACUCUCCUGCAGAGAACAAUAAGCGGCUGGUAAAAUAAGUACCUGUGGCUUCCUCUGGUAUUCGUGCUUAGGGCUUGAUGACAGGAAUGGAAGCAGGUAUGCAGGCGAGGUGAUGCGGAAAGGCGGGCAACACUGGGGGGCAACUCCAGGGCACGGAGGGAAAAGCAUGGUCUGGAAUAGUGAAGAAGUCACAUCGCAGGUUGAGUGCAGACAAACUGUCUGUUGUUACGGCCUCUUUUAAAUAGGCAAAGGUUUUAAAAGAGACAUGCGAAGGAAAUCGAGACCAGUUACUUGGAGAAAAAAAACAAUCCGGACUUUAUAUACAGUAUUAUCUAGCUAUACUCAAAGAAAACGAGGAUUUGGAAAUUCCAUCCAAGAAAACCCAAAUGGGUGUAUCUAUGUGUGUGUGUAUCUGUGUGUGUGUCACUGCCCCACACUGCACAUCCGGUCCUCAUCCUUCCCUCCGAUGAAUCCUUGGUUCACUCCUACAGAUACGCCAGGUAAAGGGUAGUGAGGUUAUAGAGUAAAUGUAAUGAACAAAGAAUCCUCGCUGGUGUCAUGAAAGCAAAUUGUGUGUGUGUGUGUGUGUGUGUGCGUGUGUGUGCGUGUGAUGACUCACUUCUCGGCUGUGCGGAUUACACGUGCUACCCGGAGCUUUGAGCACAGCUCUAGGGAUCUGUGUGGAUAAGAGCACCACAUGUCUUUAUAAAAGUAUGAGCUAAUUAAGCCCACUUCUCCCACAGUGCGUUUGGGAUCCACACAUUCCAUGACCUUUUUUCACGUCCAGCGGAACCGCUGCACUGGUCCCCGGAAGCGUGUGCCAACACGGAAGCACAGUUCGGGGUUUUUUUUUACGCGCUACCUGGAGGCGCAGCUGAAGGCCGAAGCCUCGAGGAAUCCUGGUAAAACGGUGCCCGUGGAGAAUCCCUCCGCUGUGCUGAAAUCACAAUGUUAACCGUGCGACAACAGAGUGUCUACAGCUAAAUGCUAUAGAUCUAGUCUUUGCUGCAUGAUCGUACCGUACUCAUAUCACACCCAUCUCAGCUGUUAAAAAUGACAGCAAACACCAUGUGAGUGUUCAAAAAGUUCAAAUGAUUGACAACUGAAUAUUCAAUUCAAUUCAACUAAAUUCAUUUUAUUUUGUAUAGCCCAAGAUUGCAAAUUACAAAUUUGCCUCAGAGGGCUUUACAGUCUGUACACAUACAAUAUCCUCUGUCCUGAAACCCACCAUCAGCACAGGAAAAACUCCCCAAAAAUUGAAAAAAACCCUUCCAAGAGGGAAAAAAGGGAAGAAACCUUCAGGAGAACGUUAGAGGAGGGAUCCCACUCCCGGGAUGGACAGACUACAAUGGAUGCCAUGUGUACAGAAUGAACAAUGUAUAAUACAUGCAAUUCAUGACAGAAAUGAUUCAAGUAAUUGUGAGUAGUAAGCCAGGCGCACAGCAGGACCAUAUGGGAAUAUGGGUUGUUCAACCUUAGCGGAUGUUCCCUUCUUGAUUGUUUCAUUUGAACAAGUUUUCAAGUUCUUCAGUAUUCAGCAGAGAACCAAAUAAAACACUUUUGGGUGGGCCACACACAAUAAAUGCACUUUCCAAUAAGUACUGUUGUGAUGUAUCCAUAACCAUACACCUAGAUUGAGAUCUACUUUUUAAUCUAUUUUCCUGCAAAAGAAGUUAAACCCAUUUGAAUGGAAAUAGUAAAUGUAGCUGACAUGAAGGCUACUUGUGUUGAAUGACUUUUUCUCAGCCUUUCUAUCAGCACGUCAUUUUGCGUUACAUUUUUAACCCUCCCACAUUCACCAAAGCGGACCUUUUCACAACGGUAUUAAUAAGCACAUCGGGCCGUGCUGCCCGGGAGGAUCCGUGGAGCGUCGUGCUCACAGCCCCGAUCUGGCAGCACGUUCACCAUCAGCCCGGCCAUCUGCUGGGCUCUCAGCAGCUUGUUUAGAGGUUAAUAGCUUCAUGAUCCCUCUAUCAGUCCUGCACCAUCUUCAAAUGGCUAAUUCUUCCUCCCUGGCAGCCAUUAGCGGGUUGCCUGCGGCGCGGCGUCCUCCGUCCUGUUUUUUCCCCCAAUCAUUCGGGCCAUCAUUAGCGGACAUGUGAUAUCGGACCACAAUAGAUUUUACUCGGCGUGCAGCCGCAACAAAAUGACACAUCCGGAGCCUUUACAAAUGGGUCGGAACACGCGAUGAGAGUGGUAUCCUGAGGUCAUGGGAUGUGGAGGUUUUUUGAGAUAGUUUUCUAUACGGGAUUUGUGACGUGUGUGUUUUCCUCGGACAGGCUGGACCGUCUCUCCACAAGCUCUCCACUGCUGCACUGGACUCCGUAGGGGAAACCGCUGGAGUUGCUCGGGGUUAAUGCGGCGGCAUUGGGGUUUAAAAGAGUGCAGGCCCAGUAAAGAGAUCAACUUGUGUCGGGGCUGCAGGGACCUUUGCGCUUGACUUGAAGUUUGACUUUUACUGAACCCUAUCCAUAACUGACUAAUUUUCUUAGAAAAAUCUCCAACUGCCUCUCAAAUUAAGUUGAAGGCUUUUUUUUCCCCCCAACGUGACUUCGGCAUGACCCCCCGUGAAUUUGCAUAUUACAUAGCUGAGAACUGAAUAUUAAGCACUUGAGCGAAUUACUGUCUCUCAGUUUAUAUUCCCCGUGCAGCUCGAGGUAGCGAGCAAAGGGGCGGUUGGGCAUUUAAAACCCCUUUUGAAGAUAAUGUGAUUUUUUCAUUUGGCUGAUAACCACGUGUCACGGAAUGUUUCAUUAUUUUGGACACCAAGCACUUUUUUUUCCCCCCUGCUUCAUGGCUUACCAAGAGGAAGAAAAAAUUAAUCCAGCAUCACAUUAUUGUGGCUCAUAUGAGGAAAGUCAGUGGGGGGAGUUAUUCGCUGUGAUUGCUGUUGGAACGUCUUCGGGGAUCUGCUCUGAUUCUGACGAUUCUGGCAGACGGCAAAGCUCCCCAAAGCUGGGGGCCGUGCGACGAUAUGCUUUCACACAAGUGCUGCAGUGUUUCCUCUCGUCUUUUAGAAGACGAUGCACAGUUGUGUGAAUUACCCACAUCCCACGGUGCCAUGACUUGACGAUUUCCUAUAAUGUCAGCGUGCUUGUACAUGUUUUUAGAAACGUUCAAAGCUCGAAGCUCAGAUGCUGACUGCAUGUUUGUUAAAAAAACCUCAACACGAGCCUUUCAGAGCAAAGUCUCAGGUCCAGAAAUACAUCGCUCUGAGAACCUUUGGAGCUACACUAUGUGGAAUUGGGUAUCUGGUUUCAUAUGAUUGCUCUAGCCACUGCAUAUGCAUUAUAUAAACAUGAAAAGGCCCGAUAGCUCUGAGGGAAACUGUGAUCUCUCAACACAUUCUAAUUAAAGAUUUCUCCCUUCCACUCUGGCCCAAAAUGGUUGCAUUCCUUUUCCUGACAAUCUUAUUCUCGAUUGGCUCUCUAGCAAUCUUUCUUUUUGGUGUUUUUCCAUCCUGCCCCACAAACACUGAUGUCACGGUGCACGUUGCAGAGGAGGAUACUCCGUUUCUUCAUCUGCACGUUUAUGGGGAUUUUCUCAUUGGUCAUAAUAAGUGAGAGCGGCAGGUUCACCAUAUGGACAGACGAUAGCGGGUGCUGCUGAGGACAGAUGAAUGGAUGAAUAGGGACACUCCAAAGGUCUCGGCCCCUUUCGUCAGUGGAUGGAAACAGUGAAAUAGAUUAGUGAGCUUUCCCUAUAAUAGCUUAGCAGACAGUGUGCCGGCACCUGAAGACGGCAAUUAGCCACAAACAUCACUGUUAGACAAAAGCAAUGUGAAAAGUAGAAAGUGUUCACAGUUGUAAUCGUAAAAAGUGAGGAGAGAGUGGUUAAGUAUUUGGACCAGUGUUUGUUAUGCUACUUUUAAUGAAGGACUAACCUUAACCUCACCUAAUGGGUUUAUGACCCCUGUGUAUGCUUUUCUGUUAACGUUUGCCUAAGAUAAGCUUUGGAAGUUAAACACCACACAACUACAUCGAAAGUGAAAGAGAUUUCUUUAUUUUGGGAAAUUCCUAGGACCUCCCUGAAUUCUUUGUUGUUCAGAGAAUGUCAUCAAGGGGGUUGAUAUACGCCUCUGGAGUGAGUCAGAUCUAGACAAUCGGGCAAAUUCAAUGUUUCCAAAUGACUUCUCGGUUUUCAUUAUAUCUUUAAGCUUGAUCCAAAAUGGUAAAAAUGAGGCCUGUGAUGCUGAUUUUCCUCUUACGUCAGAGAAUGAUUCGGUACUCAGAAUGCAAUAAUGGCUGUCCAUCAGACUUCUGGGCAUCUCCAGGAUCUCUGAUCGAUAUGUUCUAAGCAAAAUACACACUCUCAAACUCAUUCAACAUGUUCCUUGAGAUCAUCAGUUAUCCUAAUGCUCUCCUAAAUAUUUGGACAGCAUGGGGCAGGGAAUCGCUGCAUGGCAAGGCUAAUACCUAACAAAUGUGGGUUGCAGCUUUGUCGUGCGGUGCACUUGUUCGAAUGUCCAGGCGAGCUGGGAUCUAUGUGAUUUUUGGAGUCCUGUCCAAACAGUGGGAUAAGAGCCAAACAGUGACCUGUGGCAGGCUGAUCAUUCCUACCACAUGGAGCAUGUUUGCACAGACCUGCAGUGGCUUCAACCGAGGAAUGCAUGUCCGAUUCCUCCUCACCUCCACGUCUUUUCCCGCUUCUUUAUGAACCUGCAUGUAUGAUCAAUGAUGCGAAACAGAUCCAACAGAAAGUGUGGUCUUCUGUAGAUAACAUCUGGUUUGUUAGAAGACCAAAAGGAAGCCAUUAAGACGUACUGAUGAAUUGCAGAGUAUCACAGCUAGUAAAUGAUGAUGAAUGGGCCCAUUACAUCACAUGAUCUCCAUCCUGGUUUGUUUUUGUCUGGAGGUUGCUGAAGUUGGAUACUAGGUCAAGCCCAGGAAGGGUUAAGAAGACACCUCCAGGCUAAAAUAAAUGACAGGGAUGGUGUCUGUUGACUUUGCUGACUAGUACUAAGUUAUUCUAGUAUUAAAGGAAUUUGACAAAGUAAACAAGCAGCAUUCAACAGGCAGUAGAUGCACAAAGGUUAAAUUAUUUGGAAUAAUAAACUUUCAAGGUAUAAAAUGGUGAGAAACUAUACAUAUGUGCAAGUCUGGAAUUGACUCACUAACUAUUUUUUUAGGGAAAACAUGUUUGCUGUUAAAUAUUGAACCAUUGCCAUGCUUUAUCCAACUGUGUAUUUGUCUGCUCUACAGUACAAUAGGCGGCUAAUGUUAGCAUGCCUGACAGGCUUGCUAUCCAAAGCAGUAAUCUGGCAUUAUUCUCAAGGCCGAGGGGUUUAUACUGGUUGGAAAUAGGAAACGUAAAUAUAUGUAUAUAUAUUUCACAGCCUUUUGCAACAAAUAUUUUCAACAAGUCAGGUGGUAUUUUAACCAACGCACAGAAUUAAUAAACAUUAACAAGCUAGCUUGCAUUGGUGCAGAAUCUUUCAACAGCAUUUAUUUAAUACAAGCCCCAAUUUUAAGUUAGUAUUGUUAUGGUCAUUGCGCCGUGAGGGUUACCACCAUAAUUGUACCUAUAAAUAUAGAUUAAUGCUUAUGCCUUUGAAUCCAUCCUUCACACAGCUGACUGUAUUUGUGUGUGCAGACUUCUUCAUGGGAAAGUGGCCGAGGUCAGGAGCUCUAACCCACCUUGAAAUGUCUAAAUAGACCAGGCCUGUACCAAGUUAUCAGCGCCUCACCAUUUCGCCCUCAGGGAAAGUCCCUGUUUAUUAUGAGCAAGAUAACUCAAAUAUGCAUUAAUUCCUCGGUUUAAAAGGUUCAGAGGAGAUCAUCAACUAUGCUUUUUUAGUUAUGUUAAUGCUGCAUUUUCACGUACCUUCUGCAUGCAAUAAAUGUUGUGAUGUCACUUGUUUUUAUUCUUACAUUGCAGCGUAAAACAUUCUGGAGAGGUUAAAAGGGUUUUCCCUACACAAUACUCAGCCUGCACACUCGCAUUCAUUGGUGUUUCUUUGUUCUAUCCUCUCAUGCAGCUGAAAAGACCAACGUCCCCCUCAGGGAUAACUGAGGUCUCAUCUUAUCGUUCUCAGAACUCAGGUCAGUAAUCUUUCUCAAUUAGUCGUGGAUCACAGAGGUUAGUCUUCUGGACUUCACGGUAGCCGGUGGUGAAGACUCUCUGUCUGCUACCGCGCACAUGUGUGUUACGCGAUAUGGGCGACCACUCCUCAUAACCCACAAGCCUCGGGGCAUAAUUUGCUGGAGACAUAUUGGGGUUGCACAUUGUAUGGAUUUUUUAUUAUUGCAAUCAAAUGAUUGUUCCAUCAGAAGAAAGAUGAAAGAUAUUUUUUUGGAAGGAAAGAGGCUUUGUGCUUUUAUAAGUGUAUUAUUAUUACGAGAUCCAUGACAGAUGCAUUGGAUAAUAUUUCAACUCAUCUUAAACAAUGCUACAUUCAAAAUAAAUCGCCACCAAAAUAUUGUUACUCUACAUUCUUUCUUCCAAAGUAUUGAUUUUCCCUAAAGAAAGGAAAUCAUUUCCAGAAUUAGUAAUCUUUAAAUGUAAGUAGCUAUUAUUAUUGUUAUCCUUAUUACACGGUGUUGAGGAAACGUGUUUUAAAAAGGUAUAUGCCUUAGUGUUUAAAUCAUUUCCUUAUAUGACUGCCAUUGUGUGGACACUUCAUUUGAUCAUUAGUGUGUUAAGGUUACCGAUUGUUUCCCUCUUAACGGUGACUAUCACGACUCCCUCGAUAAAGAGACCACUCCUGUCCAUCUUAAUGCGAUCAAUAAUCCAAUCUGAAUCUCCUUGUGGAGGUUGUGUGUGUGAAAGCCUACACCCCGGAUAGAUGCCCCCAGUAGGGGGAAGAGCUCCGGUCUGACCUCCAACAUGCAUCGUUUUCUUCCUCCUUUCCGUCCUCGCUGUGUCACUUCAUUGUACAUGUCACCAUUUGGCUCCUCUGAUCUUUUUCUCAUUCCUCCAUUUAUCCUUUCAAUCUUUCCCCUGUCAACAUGCGGCGUGUCCAUCUGUCCAUCACUCCGUCACACGUCAUUCAGUAAUAUUGCGGUUUCCUCUCGAGAAAGUCUUUCUUCUCAUUGAAAGCUGAUUACUGUGUGUGUGUCUGUCAUCUUUGGUGUAUGUCACACUGAUCGAUGGACCGAGUGCUUCCCUGAGUGAGUGAGUGUGUGUGUGUGUGUGUGUGUGUGAAACAAAGCCACCUUGCUGAUUCUUUGGUUGCUGGAGAUGAGAGGGUGAGGUCUGAUUGGGAUUGAUCAAUGACCACUGAGCCAGUCGGUCUAUUCCUCUACUGCUCAAAGAAGCGCACACACACAAAUACACGCUUCACAUUGAAGUUCAAUGAUGGCACAACUAAACCAUAGGGAUCAUUGUUGUGUACGUGUGUGAAGAUGUGUAUGAGCACCACUGCUUUCCACAAUGAGAUCAAAAGUCUAAUGAGGCUCAUGUGCAGUCCAGCGUGAUAAAGUUGCUGCGGCUGUGGAAAGGAUUAUUUACAACACCUGCCUCUUGCAUCUUUUAUUAAUUUGCACAUAGACGAGGAAAAUGUAAUUCUUGCACCUAAUCUAAAUCAGAGUUCACCAACCAGACGCUUCAUGGGGAGCAGGGAUUGACCACUGAGUCUCUUGCAUGGGCGAACCUCAAGCAGUGGGGUUUGUGUCUGUCUGUCUGGCUGCGACUGCAGCCGGUUUUGAAAAACCUUUUAAUUAAUAGACUCAUUACCUUCCAAUCUCUCCGUGCCCUUUCCUCUGCAUCGUCUCGGCCUCUAGAGGGAAGCUUAGUGAUUCUCAUCUGUAGUGAAGGAUCACAUCCCUGGAAACGAGACCCCGAAGUGAUCCGGUCGGUGCCAGCUGGCGUGCCGAGGUUAGGAAUAAAAACACUUGUAUUUGACACCGUAUAAAGACUCCGUCCGUCAUCGGAGGCAAAUCAAUCUCAAAAUGACACAAAUAAGAAAAAAUGUAGAGAACUAACUUGAUUCCGAGAAAUAGUGCAAACACAAUGAAGCUGACGAUAUUAUCUUCUUUAACCUUAAAGCAGAAAGGUCGAGACGAGAGGUUUGGUGUGACAGAAACGGUAUAAGAUUAAGGAAUAGCCUGACCUCUUGCAUAUUUCACUUCUUCCUCUGCGUAGCUGUAAAACCCUCAUUACCAAAACAUUGGAAGUCUGAAUUAGACACACAUGCACACCUCUCCACUCGUCACACACUCACAGAGGUUUAUUGAUCAGAUGUCUGACACAAACCAUGAAGUAGUACCACUUCGAUUCUCUUUUUCAGAUACCUGAACUUUCCCUGAAGCCGAGGCAGGAGACAAAGAAAAAAUAUCCUUCUAUUCCCAAACAAAUGCUAAUGAUUAUGGACGAAUUAGACUGUCUUGAUUGUGAUAAAUUGAGAGCUUCACCCGCAGGUUCAUUCUCUUUUUUAACAAGUCCCAGUUGAAGUUCUGUGGUAAUUGUAUAAAUGCUUUUCCUUAGCUAUGACUAAUUAAGCAACAAGGUACGAGAGGCUUUACUUUAUCGUCAAAUAAUGUUACAGUCCGCCGUUUUUUUACUUGUAUACAGUGAAUGUACCACUGUCAUUUACCCCCUAUUGGGUGGAGUUAUAGUUGAACCAGAGAAACAAACUAACCCGUCUGUGAUGCUCGUCCCUCAGCCACUACUUUCAGUUUAAAUAUCAUCCACUUUUGGUUUCUAGGAGCUCCAGAUUUUAAUGACCUCGUUAAAAUGAAGUACUAUUUAUGUACUGUUUUAUACUUGAAGAAAACAAAGCACGUUUUAAUAACAAACACAUGGUUGGUUUUAGCAUUCCAUGAGAAACUAUUUGUUUGUGUCAAGGAUAAACAUUGAGACCAUGCACGUGUUUGAUUAGUUCGAGUGUCUGGGGGGAGUCCACGCCAUCUUCCUCCUCAGUCACAGUGACAAAUGUUUUGUCGGAACUCAAUUUAAAUCCUCAGAGUGUUCGGUGGGUACGUAAUAAUUAAGUAGACACAUGAACAUACAGUAUGAACACAGAAAAUAUGAGCCGGACAUGGAUCCACACUUUCUAAACAAAUAAACAGCAACAACAAAACAGUUAUACUGGGACGGGGCACUGUGUGUGCGUACACAUGCAGAUGUGUGCAAAUAUGUGUUGGGAAUCACAAACUAUGCCUAUUAAAUAGUUUUUUCCUGCAAAGCGUAACUGUUGCUCAUCCUAAGGACCAUGACUGCAGAGUCUUUCAUUGGUUCUACGUUGGUUGAUCAUCUCAUGUUUGUUUCGGGUCCAUUUAGCUUUCAUCUUUCUCAUCGGCUGCUUUAAAUCAGAUCAUUGUGACCUUGAGUACCGAUCUCUUUCACCCCUCAUGUGAGUGGAGCGCUAGGAAUUACUUAGAAUAAAUCAGGGCAAUAUUGUUGAUUGUAAAAAAAAGACAUAAUCUGAAAAUCUAUUUGAUAUCUUUAUUGCUUUUUAUGAAACUAUCAUUUGAUUUAGCAUCCAUUCCCAUAUUUACUGCAUUGUUGCAAUGUUUUUUUACUGCACACAAAACACCCAUUUAGCACAGAGCCCGGCUGCGGCAGUUCUUCCACACGCUCUGCCAUUGGCACACUGAUUCUUCGGUCAUUAGAGAUUACUGCCAAAUUGCAGGUGCAUUUAAGUUUUUUUGUUUCAUUUUCCAAAUUAAAACGGUUACUAAUAGGGAUAAACUGCUGCUUCAUUCCCAACCUUUCUGACUCAUGAAUGAAUAAGGCCCCGUCCUGUCAGAUGUAUUAUGUUGAUUGUACAUUUUAAACCUUAUUAUAAUUGUCAGAAAUAAAUGUGAAAUCUCACCUCAGCUUUCAGAGCAUCCUAAGCGUCGGCUGCUCUUAAGCAACGGAACGGCUAAGCUACAUUUGAAAUCCAUUUUUAUCUCAUUUCUUACUCUCUCCAAGUCAAAUUCAAGCAGGCUGUUUCUUCGGAAGUGGUAUUUGAAAACAACGUUUGUAUUUGCUUGUGGUGUUUGUCACCAGUGAGUUGAAUUCAUUUGGUUAGCUGCUCCAGCCCACCCACAGUCCCACACAGCAGAGCUCUAAUAGAGUGAUGGACAGUUCCCAGCUGUCAACAUGACAGUUGUAAUGGUCCCAUCCUUUGUAACAAUGAGAGAGGGGAGGAAUCAGUGGAGGGUGAGAAAUGGAGAGAGAGAGAGACAUGUUUUCUUUGGUUCUGUGUUUUCAUCUCCAUAUAGGCUGAAAAGGAGCGAGGCGAGGCCACAGCAGACAUGAUUCACUGAACAAUAAAUGCAAACUGCAACCAACAGUUGUGUGUUUCCCUGCGUAAAUCUUUUUUAGGUGCACGUACAUUCCUCUUCAAUUCGUGAAAACGAGCCGGCAUUCAGCUCAACCGUCGCAUUUAUAUUCAAUGAGAUUGACUAACAUUUCCAUUUUAUUUUUCGCAAUAUCCUUUAUCAUUUGGUAACUUGUCAUGGUGGGCAAAGCCAUAGCAAUUCUAUUCCUAACAGAGUCAUAAAUUCCCAGGAAGGUUGGAAUCACUGUAAAAAGGAGACUGCUCAACAACUCCAUGGAGCAGUUUAUUCUUUAGUUAGAUUUUUUUUGGUAAAAGUUUGUCAUUUCCACCUGACAUCAGUGUCAUAAAUGUAUCAAUAUGGUCAUAUUAAAGAGGGCAAUACCUCUUUAACCUGCUGGACUUGUUGGUCCUUUUGUUGAAGGCUAUCCGGAUACCGUUAUAUUGCGCACACAUUCACAUGUUAUGAUUUCCCCUUCACAUCACGUAACACUUAAAACAUCUCAAACAAACCAAAGCACAGCUCCCCACCAGCUGGCACAUGGCCAUCAACAGAUAUACAGAUAGGUCAGAUCUUGGAUUUGAAAGACAAUGGAGGGGUAGAGCUGUGUGGGAAUAGCAACUAGGAAGGAGCUGAAAGAAAAGGUUGCAUGUCAAAGCAGACUAUGACUACCUCUCCCCUUUAUGUGUUCCUCAACGCUUGACGUGAGACAACAUUCAUUUAUUUUUUCGCCGCUGACGGGAGCAGCAAAGGACGGAGAACAACUACUGUGUCCUUGCAGAGGAGGUGUGUUUCUGCUUGCGUUGGCCAAAACCCUCUGAAAGAACUGUGUGUGCGACGCUGCUGACUGAAGGGCGAGAAGGCGAUGGAGGGGAGGGGAAGCCUGAAGUGGUAAUUGAUGACUGUUGAUUUUGACCGCUCUUAUAGACGUGGCGAGAAAAAGAGAAUUAGAGAAGUAAGGGUGAAGACAGAAGGACUCUGUUUCCAUCCAAGAGUGAGUUUUCAGUAUAUUGGAGUGUCGUUUGUUUGCAAAUUCCCUUUGCUCUCCAACCAAUUCUCAUUCUGCUUGACCUGAAUUACACUUGAUAGGAGGAACCGGUGUCACUUCUUCGGCUCCCUGAUGCUUUUGAAAUCUGAAUAUCAAUUCUGAAAAGUCUGUUUUCUCAAACCCACAAUAUGUCCCGUAAUCACUGCUGCUAAACAUAUGUAAUCCCAAUGGAUUUGGAGUCAACCAAUGUGCAUGCGGAUGUGUGUGUUGUUAAGUGAUGUAUUUGUGAAUUACAGCACAGGAGGCCUUGGCUUAGUCUUUUUAGCAGCGUAUUUAUGUGGGACAAGGAUACCAUGUCCAAGCACAAAGCAAAUAGGAUUUUCUAGCAUCUUUCUCUCACUGUCUUUUGUAUGUGUGUGUGUGUGUGUGUGUGUGUGUGUGUGUGUGUGUGUAACGAGUUUACAGGCUUAGUUUCCCACUGUGGUCAUCCAGAUUGCCAGUCCCAACAGCCUUGUGUACGACAUGCUGGAUAAAUCCUGUUUGCACGCACGCACAGACACACACACACACACACACACACACACACACACACACACAUCAUGCACACACACAGAUCACACCACACACACAGGAGUGAUCUGUAGCCAAGAGAUGUGGGCUAGCCGGGUCAGCUUAACCAAAUUGAACUCUGGUUUGUCUGAAACAGACGAGGAUGCCCAUGCAGGGACAAUGCUUGUGGAAUGUGUAAGUCUGAUCAAAAGCCAUGAUUAGACUUACAUAUUUCAAUUGUGUAAUAUCACUUAAUUUUUUACCCCAUGUCUUAAAAUAUCAAAGGUUAAACAUCCUUUUUUUUUUCUUUCUGAGCCUCAAAAUAAUAUGCAACUUGUACCGGUGAGAACCUUUCAGUCGCCAAAAGAAUCCAAGCUUCUUUUUUUUUCGAGCUGAACAUCAACAACUGCUCUUUGUCUACGUGGGUGAAAGUUCACGUACUGCGUUCAGAAUCCGUGUUCCUCAGCUACCUCGGCUUAUUUGAAAAGUUGGAUGGAUUUAUUUUGAAGUCGAGAGCUCCUCAAAUCAAAAAGGCAAUUAGCAGGCUCUUCUGUUGUGGCAGCAAACAAAUCUCCCCAUCUUUUUAAUUUAAUGAGCUAAGUCUGGCUCAGAACGAGAGUCUCUGUUGGAAUUUCAUAAUCAUUUCCACUCCUUCUCGGUGUGUAGAAAAAAGGGCCGGGCCUCCAGACUGGUGUUGUCACAGUGUUAGGUAGCAUCCAGGGAUAUUAUAGGAAAACAGCCGCAGACAGACUCAUUAGGAGAUGUCCACGCCGGCAGAGACAUUAAAUUCAUGACGAUGCUAAUACACAGACAGCCCGGGUAAGAUUUCACUUGAAUAAUGGAUGUUCUGUAUCGAAGGGACCAGAGUUGUGUUUUUUUUUUUUUUUUGCUAGAGCUCUGUGACACUGAAGUGUUAUGACUGAUUCAGUUGUUUCAAGAGUGAGAAGCUAACCGCGCUCCAUCCAGCAACAGAGAAUAGACAGGGAGGCAGGAUGACGCCUGGAAUGCAGAAUACUGAGCUCGCCCAGCAGCAUAUGUGGGGACACACACACACACAGAUGGUUAAGAGGUAUAGGAAUUUCCCCUCCCAACAGACACGAAAACACGUCAAAAACCUUUUUCUUGUUUAAAACGUUUUUUAUUUGCAUUGAAGUGAGAUGCAGAGGCUUACCGUCCGAUUGUUCGUUCCCCUCUCGUGGAAACCCAUUCAAACAGAAACAUGUUCAGACUAAGUGUUGGGAUUACUAACAGACCUCUCGGUGUGCUUGUGCUCUGUCUGCAGGAAAAAAAAAGAAAACUGCCAGUUAGGAUUCAAACUGAGAGCUAUGGCAUUGUGGCACUAAUGGAGCAGUAGAUUGGGGUUAAGCGUCUGAAUGGGGAGUGGUCCACUUGCUCUGCCUCCGGGCUACCUAUUCAGGGGCACCGCUGAGCAUUUGCAUAAUUGCUGGACACCGGACCACGGCAUAGGGUUCUGAGCCGUCCCCAUUCCAGCUAACCUAAUUCGGUCUGAUUGGGCCGGGAGGACCGGUGCUGAACUCUGUGAAUGGCUCUGAGAUGAGGGUAAGAGGACGGACGGACCUCUUGGCGAAGCGGUUAGGGAGGAUAUAGAAUAGCAAGGAUGGAGAGCAGCGGCACUGCUUAGACCUCACUGCGGUGAAUGAUUACUUCCAUAAUUCAGUGUUGGACUCAAACAAAUGAAGAACGCAAAUGAAAAGGGUGACUAGACCAAACAACCCCAUUUCAGGUACUCAUGCUGUAAUUAUCCUGAUAAAGACACGUUUACAAUAAAUACCUUCCCAUUAACACAGAGCUUGACAGAUCUUCCACUGACUUAUUUGGCUGAGUAGAAUAGUCGUAAGCAGUCUUUGUCCUUCUUCCCCCGGUCCUAUUUAGAAUUUAAUGAAAGAGGAGAAAACAGCACAUUUCAUUGAACUCAAAUGGGACCCCAGAGAAUCCCAACCCCAUUUUAUUGGACAAUGGCAAACACAAAACGAACGAUUUGUACAGUUCUGAAGAAUGCAGAUGGUCGAUGUAAGAAAACAGAAAUGGAAGUUUCAUUCAGGAGAAUUUGGCAAUUGGUUGGGACCAAACCAAAGGUGGGACAGUUUAAAAAGCCCCCACAGUGGUGACGUAUUUUGGUCAGGUUUCUCUUCUUCCUAUCUGGUUCGCGCCAUUAGCAUGAACAGGUGCGGAAGUAUUGAGACAAGGUGUUCAGAUGUGAUACGGAAGGCACCCUAGUUGCAACUACUUACUUAAAUAAAAAUGAUUCACAAACUAUCUUUGCUCCAAGGCUCUCUCCAUCGCGCGCUCUUCACCGGCUUUGAUGGUGGAUAAACGGAAGGUUAGCUGUGAAGUGGGAUUGGUUUAACACCAUGCCAGCAGAGCCCCGGUCUCAAUGGCUCCUAGUGCUCGGGGCUAGUGCCCUCGACACAGCUCCUGUGUAGGUUCCCUGAACCCAGACAAGUGUUUCUCCUCCCACCCGGCGCUAUAGCUCCACUCCCCUUGCCUCAGAUUCCCAUUCAGCCCGUUUACCAUGCCACCAGGCCCAUUCAAACCUCAGUCGGCAUGUGUUACAGCCUCACAGAGACCACUGAACUCUCCCUAACCUACUAAUCAGACCUCUCCUCCCUUUCAGACCUUAAACAUAAAGCCCCAAUCUGACCACCAUUUUGUAGGUCAGCCACUGUGGGCUUUGUGCAGGCCUCGGCACCACCAGAGAAAGAUCCUCCUCCUAUUGAUGGGUCUUGAGCAGAUCCCCGAGCGACCCAGACACCUCCCCCUGCAGAUGGAGCAAUUCAAAGACAUCCAGUUUAUUAAGCUGUCACUGCGCAUCUAAAUCUGUUCCCUAUUGCAAUGGCACAGGCCUGUCCAGAGAGAGAGAGAGGGCCUUUGUGUGCCACCAAGGUAUUGAAAGCUAUAACAAAAAAAAAAAAAAAUCACACACACUAAAAGUAAUGCACACACACCGGUUAAAUGAGAUGCAAAUCCAACGAUUCACUUGGCAGUAAGAGGGUGCUUUUCAUUGUGUGUGUGUGCGUGCAUCUUGCGCGCAUGCAUGCGGCACCCGUUAUUCUGUGUUUGUGUGUGUGUGUGUGUGUGUGUGUGCCUAAUUCCUGCAGCAUGGUCUCAAUCUGUGCUGGCCUAGGAAGUGUGUGUACAGUUGAGUGGCCGUAACACAGUUGUUGGUACAGGGGCAUUGUGUGACUGUGGCAGGGAGAGGAAUUACUUAGGGAGCCGGGACAAUGUCUUCGGUUGAAGCGGGCUACACCGUGAUGUAGGAGAUGAGCCAUUCAGGGUGACAGAGACAGGAAGAGAGAGAGAGAGAGAAAAAAAAAGAAUGGGAGGCAGAGAAAGGGUGAGGGCUGAAAUGGAUCCUGGUUAAGACCUGUAGCUUUUACCUCUUCUGCAGACAGUCAACACUGCGGGCUUGGAUCUGCAUGGCUAAUGGCAGUUUAGGGUUGAUGUUUCUUGCUGACCCCUGGAUUUCAGAGAGUCAAAUUUAGUGGCAGGAUAACAAAUGCAGUGCAGUAGCCCCGGCGUAGAACAGUGUUUUAAUCCCUUGCUUGAGCAAAUGUAAAGACUUUAAUGGCUCUUUAGGCCACUUCUGAAUACCACUUUUGGGCCUCCUGAGCUUUCGGCAGUAAUCAGCAGUGAAUAUUCAGAGCUUCAGCUGGGGGACGUGAGUCAAUCCUCUGUGGGAACGACAUGACCAGAGGAGUGUUUUAACCGCUCCGUGGGAGCCCUGGGCGGCACAGACUUUCGUGACUAAAAGCGAACACAUUUUUUGUCACUCACUCACUGGCUUUAAAGUGUAGACGUACCUCAGAGUCAUAUUUGUCCGCCCCCCCCCCCCCCCUACCUGAACACAAUGACAGCCCGCGGCUCGCAGAGGCUCGAGUCUGUCAUGGGUUACUCUGCCACACAGGCAACCAUUGUUGCGUCUCAAUCAGAAGCAUGUUCCCAGAGGUUUGGUCUAUAUUACCCAUGUUUGUAAUCCCCAGGAAUCCACAAAAAAUCAAAUACCUACCCGAUGAAGAAACAUUCAAAUAAUCAAUUAUUAGCGUCCAGCGUUGUUCUCCUUUUGCCAUCUGUUAUGCUUUGGAUUCUUUGAAUCCCUUGUGAUUGGAAUCCGCCUCUGGCAAUGUGAUUUAUUGGCCGAUAAAGGUCAGCCCAAAAUAGUAUACAAAAUUGGGUUAAUACAAUAAAAAUCUCCAGGAAUGUACUUUUAACUUUUUUAAUACAACAAUUUUCAGUUGACCGGAAAGAAUUCAAAGAACUCAAUUUCGGAGUUCUCACAUCUACAUUUUCUGUAAAAAUAACUAAAGAAGUGUUUGCAUUGUCGUGCAGGUGGUUUUCUUUGAGUGUGUGUGUAUUUAUAUGUCUAGGAGUGUGUCAGUGGGUGUAUAUUUGCGUAAGUAGUGGAAAUUAAAGGCUCAUGUGGUAAAUGCUGGCAUUAGGAUGGGAAAUGACCGGUGAGCCGUUCAAUAACGCCCUGAGUUGUUAAUGACCGCUGCCCCCCGGCUCAGAGAGGGCCGUAGUCUGACACACACACACACACACACACACACACACACACACGCACACGCACGUGAGGAGAAGAAACAGCAAGAGGAAAUGAGCAAGUGAUCCACUUCACCUUCUACUGUACAUUCCCACACGAAGACUCUUUUAAACUUCGCCGUGUGCAGGAUUCAGCUUUGUGAAAAGCUUGACCAGGUAUUUUUCUACUCCGGGCUCCGGGGCUUUUUUUUUAUGCACAUGGAGAAAGCCUCUACUCAAACCCUCAUAUUUCUUGUUUUUUAAUAUCAUUAAUGGAAGGGUCUGUGCAAGUGUUGAAAUAUGACCCAAUUAACAAGCGGUGCCGUUUUGUUAUUAUUUCUCCCUGAAUUAAUCUUAUGGAAAUAGGAUCUGAGAGUAAGGUAGAUAUUUCCCAUGGUGUGGCUCUGUGAAAUAGGUUACACAUGUACACUCAGCACACCGCUGCCCUCUCGCAUCGGCAAACUUUUCUCCAUUAGCUCCCACUCCUUUCUCAUGUGGCUCUUUGCUCGGUGCACACGGAGACGGUCACAGGCUAAACAAACAGUAUUGCCUUUCUUCAAGAAUAUGUCAAUUUGGUCUGGUAAUAAUUUUAGGUGAGAAGACUGAGGAAACAGUGAGUUUGUAUGAGCAUUGCAGAUGGUAUUAUCACAUGAAAAUAGGCAUAAUUGCACUGUGCUUAUAGUGCUGGUUAAGUAAACCUACAGCGAGGAUCGGGUUGCGCUGCCUCGCCCUCCCUUGUGCAUCACCGAGUGGUUAGAUGCUGUUUUAACUGUGAUAUAGGAGACUGUAUAAAUGUCUCAUAAUUACUUGGUUGGGAAUUUUUCAUACUUCUGUUUGACAAAAUGUAAUAGUGGUUCGCAACGUAGCCGGCGAUUAGUUGUUGGAAUUUUUUAAAAGCGGUUGAUAAUGAUAAGAAACUUUUUUUUGGUAUCUAUGUGUUUCAAUAAAAAUAAGGCUAAUAGAUGAAGUAGAACGCUGCUCCUAUUUAAUAAACAGACAUGAAUAUGAUGAGAAAAAAAUGAUGUACGCUGAUCUAGAAAAUAGAUCUAGCAAUUUACAAUAAUAGCUGAAAAACGCACAUGAGAGAAAACUACUUGUUUGUACCUUUUUUUUUCACUCCUUUAGUAGGAAAGUCAGCGACAUUCAAUGAAACAAUAACUGUAAUUGUCAUUUGUUUGGCCUUUUGAAAGGUCUAUUGCCGCUAUGAAUCACAACAACGUGGCUAAUGUAUUGGAGGUGCAAAAUAAAUAGGAAAACAGCCCUGAGCUGCAAAUACCAGACACAUUAAAGCCUGGAGCACUUCCAGGGAAAUGUUUCAAUUAGAAAGAGUGAAUACCCCUAUAUUUCAAGGACAAGAUGGAUAACUUAGAGAAUAGGCUGUCAGGGAAGUAAACUACGCAAUAGAUUUAAUGAAAAUAACUCAUCUGGCAGAUCAGUUGCUUGAACAAGGCUUCGUCGUAACGGAUAGGUGGACGGCAAAUCGAUGCUCAGAAGACCAGAUGACCAGAAGAGCCGGUUUGUGUUAAAGCGCCGAGAGACAAAGUGAGACAGACGGACAAGAAGAAGAGAGGGAGUUUUAUCGAAAACGAGUCAGAGGCAGGGAUUCACUUAAGGCGAGCAGCAUCUGAAGUCAUUGUAACAUAAAUCCAAUACAUUUCUGUGAAACAAUAAUGACACAUUUUGGUCUUUCUUAUAAAACAUUGGCAGUAUUGGUCCACAUCAGGUGCAGGUGACACUUUCUGGAAUCCAAGACAAAGGACGCCUCAUGAUUUACAAGAACGCUCUUGGUGCGGCUCUGGGGAUUGAAACGAUGGUGAAAUGAUCCAGAAGAGUCCGAACCGAAAUAUCUUGGCUGCAUCCGCCGCUGACAUGUUUCAUAUCCACGGCCCCACAUUUUUAAUCCUCCUGACUUUGAUGUUCCUCUGACUAUUCCUCUAUUGCGCUACCAUGAGAUUUUUUAGCAAAGCUUUUUGAUGGAUUGCCACAUCAUUUGGCACCGAUAGCCUUUAUGCCCAGAGGAUGUAUUUCUAUGACUUAUUUUAUUACUGUAGACUUGUUUAUCUGUAGUAAACCAAUGUUUUUCUCUCUCUAUCUUCAACAUGAUGUGUUGAUGUGUGGAGUAGUUUAACAGUGGGCCUUCACACCACUUAUAUAAAACUUAUUUAUGCAUUAACAAAGUGUGUGUCAAAUCUAAGGUCCGGUGUGUUACCUUAGUCAAUUAAAUGCAACGAGGGCAGUGUCAUAGAGAUAUGAUCGAGAUGUGAGUGUGUUUAAGAGGUGUCACUCAGUUCUCACAGCUUUGCUUUGAUCUCUACAAGGCCGGCGUUCCUCUCAAACAAGAUUGCCAAAUGUCAAGUUUAUUAAAUAACUAUGUAUUUUAAUAUCUUCUAAGAUCUCACCAACUGAGACUGUCCGCCUUGGCCUUCUCGGAUAGUCUGAUGGUGUCCCUGCCAGGUGAGACAGUGUCCACUCCAUGAAAGACCAGUCUGUCAACGCACUCAGAACCACCUUUUGCCAGACAUGUGGUUCUUAUUUCGCAGCCAGAGAAUAAGAUUAACAUAAAAGAGUGUGUGUAACUGUUCUCUCAUUGCAAACCCUGCCUGGGGCCGGAGGAGGAGAGGCCGCGUUUGUGAUACCUCAUUUGGGAUCCUUUAAAAACGAUGUUUACCUCGCAAAGUGUGCAUCUCAAUGAUGUAUUGCAGUGGUCAGAGGCAUUAACAAGCAAUCUUCUGGACUCCAGGUUUACACAUACAGGGUUGGAAGUCAAUGGGUAACACGUGAGAUGAUAAUCAUUUCGUACUUUUGUCGUCAACCCAACGCUUGAUCCUAAAAAUAACAUCAAUCCUGACAAAAUAAAGGUGUAACGGUAGCGGUUGACAACCAUUUUAACUUCAAUGUCCAACACGUGGUUGCGUCACAAUAUCGUCACCGCAUGGUGGAGUUUCCUUAGAUGUAGCUGUGGUGCUUUUGUAUUUCUUACAAGUUGAAGUUGGCAGCUACAUACCAUGAAGUUGGAGAGAUAAAUGAAAAGCUGCUCUCGGGUGGAAGUUUGUCCAGAGCUGAGAAGCUUGUUCAGGCCAUGAGUGUCAUCAGCUGUCCCAUCGACGACUUUGGAACCAGCAUUAUUUUAAGAUAGACUUAACAAGUUUUUAUUUGAAUCCAAACCAUGCUCUUUGCCUAAUCUUAACAAAGUUGUGUUACUGCCUAAACCCAACCAAAUCUUACCUCUAACAAAUCCCAAUAGUUUUAAGUUUCAGAGAAACAGCAAUCAUCCUGUCGAUAGCAAUGUCAUAUGUCAAAUGAUCAUAAACUGUCCUAUCCUAAUUCCAGUCUACUUCUUGUCAGUUAUAUCUGCAUCAUGUACUGAAGUCAAAGGAAGCAGUCCCAGAAAGAGAAAGAAAAUAAAGAGCUUCAGCACAGGUGACACCAAUUUUCUGCUAUUUCCCUUUGUUUGCCCCGCUGACCUGCACGAGGAGCUACAGGCUAGCUAGGUUCUUGUUCAUGUCUACACAUAUCUAAUGCGUGUCUGUGUGAAUGAUUUAAAACAAAGCCGACAUGGUUUACAGAAUGUGAGCUGAGUAACAGCAGGUAUUUGAGCAAUACUGGGGUUUGAAGGUUGGACGUAAUAGCAGAAGGUUGGAGGGGUCUUUUCUUCUUGCGUGCUUGUGGGAAUCUAGAUGAAAAUGGAGGUACUUUUAAAAAUAAAUGUUUUAUUCAAUUCUUAUGAAAUGAAAUUAUGCAAAGCUCACGCAAAGACAGUUAUUAAUUUAUAGAUCUGAGUUCUAAUUUGCAAUAAGAGGCUGACACAACCCAGUGAUUAGGCAAACUAAUAUUGGUGCAACAAUGCCUCCUUUGGUAUAAUUUAAUCCAUCUUUCUCAUAAAAGAUCCCUCUCCUUUGUGCCACAGACCCUCAGACAUAACCUCAAGCAGGCUCAAGGGGGAAACGGCCAGAUAAGUAUAGCAGCCCUUUGUGUGACAAAAAUGAAUAUGAUUUGGUGCAGUUUGAUUAAAUCAUAAUGCGACAGGUAAUGAAUCUCCACCUUCGCGAUUUCAUUACUCAGUGCAGUCAUGUUAUCAACCUCCUAAUAUAGCCUCAUUAUAUAUUCCAUUUAUACCAGUGAGAUGUAAAAUAAAAAAAUGGACUUUUUUUUAUUUUUUUUUACAAAAGUCAGGUGUAUUUUUCACUUUACUAUUCAUACAAGAGCCGCGUCUCCUCUCUUCUCUCCUUCUUUUCGCCUACUCCAUCUCCUUGAGUUAUAGCCAACAGUCAUAUAUACCAACGCCAAACGAAGGAGGCCCUUGCAACUUGAAUUGGAAAUAGAUGGGAGAGCCCUGAAGUGCACUUGCAUGAAGGCUUCAAUUAUUUUGAUGAUUGGUGUCAGGAAAGGUUUCAGUAUGAGACUCAUCUAGUUCCAGAAGUGCUUUUUAUAGACUUUGCGAGCUUCUCAUCCCUAUCAACACUGUGAUACCAGAAAGGGCUUUUCUGACCCAUGUCAUCUUUUUUUUAUGAAUUUGUCUUAAUUUGUUAAGAUUUAACUAUUUGACUCUUUAAUCAGUCUCCCGAUGACCCUUGUUAGCUACAAUCAAACCCUUCCAAUUAAACAAGGUAAAUCUCUGAUUAGGACGGCGCUUAAUGACCAUGACCCCCGAUGUGGGGCAGAUGAUGUCAUAAUCAGAGUCAAUGAGCUAAUCCAUCUUGACAGAGAAGUCAAAGGUCACAAAUGAGGCUGCGAUAAGAGAUAGACCUAAUGAAUAACAAUGGGUGGAUUAACUUGAAGCAAAUCAUGUCAAUGGGGGAAGAGCUGGGCAAUAAUGUCCUACCGAUUUUCAUGGUGAGAAAAGAAAUAACUGUGUCCUGCAGACUGAAGGGAGGUCUUAUUUUAUAAGUCCAUGUCAUAAAAUAUCCUCCAGCUGUAAUGUCUACCUGUUUUCAACUACUUUACUUUCAGUUGAAAACCACACUCGAAAGAUAUCUUGUAAAAUAACUAUUUUUAACUGUUAAAAUUUUUUUUUAAUUUAUCUCAGAAGUAAUCAUUUACUCAUUGAUAACGCCAAGCUUCACACCUUACUGGGAAACAAUCGAUUCAGUGUGAGUUUAUGUGAACAUUUGUGUGUGUGUGUGUGUGUGUGUGUGUGGUACAAUGUCCAUGAUCUCUCUCUUUUGUCUCCCUGGUGUCCAUAACAUGUACAUAUUGCUAAAUGCAAUGAUGCGCAUUUGAUGAAUAUGUAAAUAGUAGUUAUGCAACACUGCACCUGUCGUUCAAUGCUUCAUAACGUUCUGAAAUCUUAAUGAAUUGCUCCCUACUGAAUAGAGUAAAGCCUUCACUGUGUAUUUUCUAGGCAAUAGAGAAUGGAUCAGGGCAUGAUUUAAUGUUGUCCACUAGCAGGGCAGCAUUCAGUUUUGACAAUGGAACACCUGUUUGGUUACCCAGGUAACAGCUGGGAUAUCAUCCAUUUGGAUGUAUGUGUGUGGAUUGUUGUUGUCUCAGUAAUAGACAAAGUGUAUUGUGAUUACAAAGCUUGGUAGUGCAGCGUUACAGUUCGAUUGAAUCCAGCUAUUAAAGGUGAUUUGUUUAAAUAGGAAGCAGGUACCCAGCAUGACAGUUCCUUUAAAUAAAGAAGGGAAGGCUGUUUGUGAUAAAAGUCCAACAAUUUUGUUCUAUUUUUCCCAGUUAGUUGCGCGUUUUGCAUGUCCGUGCGUGUGGCUCUGUCCCCACUGGAGAGCCUCCCUGGGGGUCUCCCUUGCCAACCUCAACAAAGGUCAUUGUGGGGGAGGAUGCGCACCCAGCUUUGACCCCCCGGGGUCACAGGAGGCCUGUAUGAUGGAGAUAGCCAGAGAAAUUGAGAUAAUAGAAUAACAAUAUAUGUGUUGUGUCCCUGUGCGCCUGGCCUGCACACAUGCAUGAAUCCCCCAAUUCAGCGUGUUUGCACACUCGGGGCAUGCGCGCAGGCAAUAUGUGCAUGCAUGCGUGCAGAGGUGAGGGGGGUCUUUUUGCAUCUGUUGGCCGAUGUAAUGGUCGGUCCAGCGUUGUGAGCAGAUUGCGGCUAGGUGCGUGUGCAGUAGAUAACUAUGUUUGCUUCUCUGUCUCCACACAUCAGGAGGAAGUCCUUGUGUCCACAGCCCAUAUAUUACUUUCUAUUUACCUCAUGGAUUAUACACUACAGAUAAUCGGAGAUAAAGGGGUUGCUUAGAAGGUCUGUCAGUGUUGCUUCCACCUGGCCUUUAUUCCAUUUUCUAUUCCAUUUAAAAUGUCAACAUUUGUUUUGUGUCUUAUUAGGAAGACCUUGGAAAACGCUGCACGCAUUUGACAGUGACCAAAUGGAUUGUGAAGAUUUAUUUUAGUAUGAUAAAUAUUUAUUUUAAAUUUACGAUACAGUGUUUGUGUCUAACUCUAAAAUUGCAUGUAAAUGUAUUCAUUAAAAAGAAACCUUGUGGUGGUAGAGGGCAAUGCGUGUUAUUAAAAACACUUCCUUAAAAAAAAUCCAAAUCAUUUUGGUCAAGUUCUUAUUUGCAUUACUGCUAUCAUUGAAAUCAAGGUUGACAUAGCUUAACAUUGUAUUACUGAGUUACUAUGAAAGCACAGUAUCCAUUUAUAUUGUGUCAGGAUGGAUGGGCUCUGCCUUUUGUUCCCUGUCAAUGCUCUCUAUGUCAGGCAACACGGUGAACGUGGGUAGAGAGGGAGCACUGGGAACCGCAAGGUUGGCGGUUCGAGGCCCGGAUGCUCCAUGUCCCAUGUCAAAGUGUCCCUGAGCAAGACACCUCACCCCUAUUUGCUCCCUGGGCAAAAAGCCAUGGGUUAAAAGUGCAAUGUAAGUUGCUUUGGAUAAAAACGUCAGCUAAAUGACCUGUAAUGUAACACAUCCUGCUGUAAGAAUUAUUAUUCUUAAAAAAGGAUGUCAUAUAUUCAGGGGCAAGUUUGGUUUUGUAAAAAAUGUCUAAUUCUCGAUAAUUGAAAUAAGAACAGCUUGGUAAUCUUACCCGUACCAACUCCCAACCCCUCACAUUCACACACCUCCCUUGUGGGGGAAGAGUGCCAUCUAUGUACACUCUAAAUAUCCGUAGUAAUUAAGACCAAUGUCAACCAAAAGGGGUUCUUUUUUAUUUCAUGGGCAAUUUGUGCACGUUUUCCUCCUCACUCCACAAGCCAGUGAGCUCAUGGAGCAAUAACUACAACUCCUGUAAAUGGAGGCACACAAAGACAAGACCAAUUUAAAACCUCCCAGGUCAUCAGGGCUAAAUGGGGGCGUCAUGACCUAAAACUGCUUUUGCCUUUGUUGUGUUGUUGUCCGACAGAAAAGAUGCCUCAAGUCACCAGUUUCCCAUGUCUUCAGUUUUCGAGUGAUAAUUCUAUCCACCCGUCAUAAUAACUUGUGAACACGCUUAAAAGUGAAACUAUUAUUGAUGAGCUUGAAAAAGCUCUUCCUGCACAUUGGUUCCACCUAAACUUCACCUGCAGGUGUGACCUCAUGUCACAUCAAGUCAUUAUAAAACUAGUCUGCACAUAAUGUAGGGG
ensembl:lncRNA